AGUGAACGCUGGCGGUAGGCCUAACACAUGCAGGUCGAACGGCAGCACAGUAAGAGCUUGCUCUUACGGGUGGCGAGUGGCGGACGGGUGAGGAAUACAUCGGAAUCUACUUUUUCGUGGGGGAUAACGUAGGGAAACUUACGCUAAUACCGCAUACGACCUACGGGUGAAAGCAGGGGAUCUUCGGACCUUGCGCGAUUGAAUGAGCCGAUGUCGGAUUAGCUAGUUGGCGGGGUAAAGGCCCACCAAGGCGACGAUCCGUAGCUGGUCUGAGAGGAUGAUCCGCCACAGUGGAACUGAGACCCGGUCCAGACCCCUAGGGGAGGCAGAAGGGGGGAAUUUUGGACAAUGGGCGCAAGCCUGAUCCAGCCAUACCGGGUGGGUGAAGAAGGCCUUCGGGUUGUAAAGCCCUUUUGUUGGGAAAAAAAAGAAGCAGGUUAAUACCCCGCUGUUCUGGCGGUACCCAAAGAAUAAGCACCGGCUAACUUCGU
rnacentral:rRNA from 1 species